GACGAACGCUGGCGGCGUGCUUAACACAUGCAAGUCGAACGGAAAGGCCCUGCUUUUGUGGGGUGCUCGAGUGGCGAACGGGUGAGUAACACGUGAGUAACCUGCCCUUGACUUUGGGAUAACUUCAGGAAACUGGGGCUAAUACCGGAUAGGAGCUCCUGCUGCAUGGUGGGGGUUGGAAAGUUUCCGGCGGUUGGGGAUGGACUCGCGGCUUAUCAGCUUGUUGGUGGGGUAGUGGCUUACCAAGGCUUUGACGGGUAGCCGGCCUGAGAGGGUGACCGGCCACAUUGGGACUGAGAUACGGCCCAGACUCCUACGGGAGGCAGCAGUGGGGAAUAUUGCACAAUGGGCGGAAGCCUGAUGCAGCAACGCCGCGUGCGGGAUGACGGCCUUCGGGUUGUAAACCGCUUUCGCCUGUGACGAAGCGUGAGUGACGGUAAUGGGUAAAGAAGCACCGGCUAACUACGUG
rnacentral:rRNA from 1 species